UACGGGGGGGGCAAGCGUUGUUCGGAAUUACUGGGCGUAAAGGGCGCGUAGGCGGCCAUCUAAGUCAGACGUGAAAUCCCUCGGCUCAACCGAGGAACUGCGUCUGAUACUGGAAGGCUUGAAUCCGGGAGAGGGAUGUGGAAUUCCAGGUGUAGCGGUGAAAUGCGUAGAUAUCUGGAGGAACACCGGUGGCGAAGGCGGCAUCCUGGACCGGUAUUGACGCUGAGGCGCGAAAGCUAGGGGAGCAAACGGGG
rnacentral:rRNA from 1 species